rnacentral:rRNA from 1 species
CGUGUAGGCGGGCAGGUAAGUCGGGCGUGAAAUCCCUGGGCUCAACCCAGGAACUGCACUCGAAACUACCAGUCUUGAGUACCGGAGAGGAAAGCGGAAUUCCUGGUGUAGAGGUGAAAUUCGUAGAUAUCAGGAGGAACACCAGUGGCGAAGGCGGCUUUCUGGACGGUAACUGACGCUGAGACGCGAAAGCGUGGGGGAGAAC